rnacentral:rRNA from 1 species
GGUAACCUACCCUGUACACACGGAUAACAUACCGAAAGGUAUGCUAAUACGGGAUAAUAUAUUUGAGAGGCAUCUCUUAAAUAUCAAAGGUGAGCCAGUACAGGAUGGACCCGCGUCUGAUUAGCUAGUCGGUAAGGUAACGGCUUACCAAGGCGACGAUCAGUAGCCGACCUGAGAGGGUGAUCGGCCACAUUGGAACUGAGACACGGUCCAAACUCCUACGGGAGGCAGCAGUGGGGAAUAUUGCACAAUGGGCGAAAGCCUGAUGCAGCAACGCCGCGUGAGUGAUGAAGGCCUUCGGGUCGUAAAACUCUGUCCUCAAGGAAGAUAAUGACGGUACUUGAGGAGGAAGCCCCGGCUAACUACGUGCCAGCAGCCGCGGUAAUACGUAGGGGGCUAGCGUUAUCCGGAUUUACUGGGCGUAAAGGGUGCGUAGGCGGUCUUUCAAGUCAGGAGUGAAAGGCUACGGCUCAACCGUAGUAAGCUCUUGAAACUGGGAGACUUGAGUGCAGGAGAGGAGAGUGGAAUUCCUAGUGUAGCGGUGAAAUGCGUAGAUAUUAGGAGGAACACCAGUUGCGAAGGCGGCUCUCUGGACUGUAACUGACGCUGAGGCACGAAAGCGUGGGGAGCAAACAGGACUAGAUACCCUGGUAGUCCACGCUGUAAAC